rnacentral:rRNA from 1 species
AACGAACGCUGGCGGCAUGCCUACCCCUGCCAGUCGCACGAGACCUUCGGGUCUAGUGGCGCACGGGUGCGUAACGCGUGGGAACCUGCCCUUAGGUUCGGAAUAACUCCCCGAAAGGGGUGCUAAUACCGGAUAAUGUCUUCGGACCAAAGAUUUAUCGCCUUUGGAUGGGCCCGCGUUGGAUUAGCUAGUUGGUAGGGUAAAAGCCUACCAAGGCGACGAUCCAUAGCUGGUCUGAGAGGAUGAUCAGCCACACUGGGACUGAGACACGGCCCAGACUCCUACGGGAGGCAGCAGUGGGGAAUAUUGGACAAUGGGCGAAAGCCUGAUCCAGCAAUGCCGCGUGAGUGAUGAAGGCCUUAGGGUUGUAAAGCUCUUUUACCCGGGAUGAUAAUGACAGUACCGGGAGAAUAAGCUCCGGCUAACUCCGUG